rnacentral:rRNA from 1 species
GAUGAACGCUGGCGGCGUGCCUAAUACAUGCAAGUCGAGCGAACGGACGAGAAGCUUGCUUCUCUGAUGUUAGCGGCGGACGGGUGAGUAACACGUGGAUAACCUACCUAUAAGACUGGGAUAACUUCGGGAAACCGGAGCUAAUACCGGAUAAUAUUUUGAACCGCAUGGUUCAAAAGUGAAAGGCGGUCUUGCUGUCACUUAUAGAUGGAUCCGCGCUGCAUUAGCUAGUUGGUAAGGUAACGGCUUACCAAGGCAACGAUGCAUAGCCGACCUGAGAGGGUGAUCGGCCACACUGGAACUGAGACACGGUCCAGACUCCUACGGGAGGCAGCAGUAGGGAAUCUUCCGCAAUGGGCGAAAGCCUGACGGAGCAACGCCGCGUGAGUGAUGAAGGCCUUCGGAUCGUAAAACUCUGUUAUUAGGGAAGAACAUAUGUGUAAGUAACUGUGCACAUCUUGACGGUACCUAAUCAGAAAGCCACGGCUAACUACGUG